GCAGAACUGGUGGGGCUUGUGGGUAACCUGGUUCUAAGAAUUUCAAGCUGGCUCAGAUGUCUACCCAGAAACUCCUCCCAGUUUUCCAGGUUAAAGAAGUAAUUGCUCCUUCCUUGUAAAAGAGAUAAUAAGAGAUGGAGAAACAAAGCUCAGAGAACUUAAGUAAUCUCCCUCAAUGAGAUCAACAACAGAGCCUUGCUUCAAACUCCAUCUGACACCAAGACAUGACUCAGAAAGUGGAAUACUUAAGGAAGAGGACUUACUCCAGUCUGGGAAGCAGAAAAUACACUCUUCUGACACCUUCAAAUCAUCACUGGGAAAUUCUGUGAUUAGGGCUUUCAUCCCAUGGGAUGCCUAUUCUCUACUAUUUCCUUCUUCACUCCUUUUUGCUUCACCUGAACACAAUGUUAGGUCAUUUUCUAUCCAAGGCUUUUGGUAUUUAGGACAAUAAAGAAAGUCAUACAUUUCUAGUGAAAAAUAUUGUUGGCACAAAUUCAUGAGAUUUGAGUAAUAUAAACUGAUUGAAUACGAGAAAUGGCAGAAGAAUGUCAUUUAUGUAAUGAGCAAUGAAGAAAAUCUGGCCUCACACAUAUGCAUAGUUGGAAAAGGAAGACACCUUAAUAACCUUUUAGGACAGGGUACGGAGAAAGCCAUACAAUGUAAGCACCCUGAGUCCUACAAAUGGCACAUGGCAAGGAUGUAGCAGUUAUCAGUUGACCUAAUAAAAAUGCUGCACAAGCGGGCGGCCUCACACCAGCUUGACAGCAUCCUAUGCAAGAGGGUGUUCUGUGGGGGAAAAAGACUAACAGUAACUGACUUCUAUGGAGUGUACUUCCAGAAGAUGGGAAACGGAAUAGAAGCAUGAAGUAGGAGGUAUUCACAGGAGCCUUAGAAGAACUCAUAAAUACAAUCAACGAAAGCCCUAGCAUUUGAGACGCGACACACAGAGUGCUCGGAUGAUAACAAAACCGGUCACAAAAGAGAUUUCCCCAUCUUUUCGCAAAAUACGCUGGAACAAGUGGUGAGAAGGAGAGAAGAGAGAAAGAAAAAAACACCACCAGUCUGGAAGCCAAAUGAGGUCAUAGUCGCAUUGGCAAGUGCGAGAAGCUUUGCCUUGUGAGAUUUAAGUCUUAAAUUAAAAUGGACUGGACUUUUUAAUACCAAAAGGAGUCAAUUACUAAAAUGAGACUAGUUCUGACGUCUGAAAUGUAUAGCCAAGGAUUCCAUCCCAGUGUGGGAAGGAGCAACAGAACAGUUUUAAGACCCUGGUUGGGAGGAAGAAUAAGAGGAGAGCGGGCCAUUUUUUAUCUGUAACCUCCCUUGAUUCCGUUGGCUUCUCCAGCUCACAAUCCCACGGGGACUGAUCGCCCCACAAGCUGUUUCAAUAUAACGCAAGGAGUGAAAA